GCCCUUGUAGAUCAGUGGUAGAUCGCCUACAAGUCAUUAAAAUGCGCGUUGGCGUUUCGUGGGAGGUAGGGGUUCGAAUCCCCUCAAAGGCA